GAUGAACGCUGGCGGCGUGCCUAAUACAUGCAAGUCGAGCGAACAGACGAGGAUCUUUCUCCUCUGACGUUAGCGGCGGACGGGUGAGUAACACGUGGAUAACCUACCUAUAAGACUGGGAUAACUUCGGGAAACCGGAUCUAAUACCGGAUCAUAUAUUGAACCGCAUGGUUCAAUAGUGAAAGACGGUUUUGCUGUCACUUAUAGAUGGAUCCGCGCCGCAUUAGCUAGUUGGUAAGGUAACGGCUUACCAAGGCAACGAUGCGUAGCCGACCUGAGAGGGUGAUCGGCCACACUGGAACUGAGACACGGUCCAGACUCCUACGGGAGGCAGCAGUAGGGAAUCUUCCGCAAUGGGCGAAAGCCUGACGGAGCAACGGCGCGGGAGUGGUGAAGGUCUUCGGAUCGUAAAACUCUGUUAUUAGGGAAGAACAAAUGUGUAAGUAACUAUGCACGUCUUGACGGUACCUAAUCAGAAAGCCACGGCUAACUACGUG
rnacentral:rRNA from 1 species